rnacentral:rRNA from 1 species
UGGGGAAUUUUGGACAAUGGGCGAAANCCUGAUCCAGCAAUGCCGCGUGUGUGAAGAAGGCCUUCGGGUUGUAAAGCACUUUUGUCCGGAAAGAAAUCCUUGGCUCUAAUACAGUCGGGGGAUGACGGUACCGGAAGAAUAAGCACCGGCUAACUACGUGCCAGCAGCCGCGGUAAUACGUAGGGUGCAAGCGUUAAUCGGAAUUACUGGGCGUAAAGCGUGCGCAGGCGGUUUGCUAAGACCGAUGUGAAAUCCCCGGGCUCAACCUGGGGAACUGCAUUGGUGACUUGGCAGGCUAGAGUAUGGCAGAGGGGGGUAGAAUUCCACGUGUAGCAGUGAAAUGCGUAGAGAUGUGGAGGAAUACCGAUGGCGAAGGCAGCCCCCUGGGCCAAUACUGACGCUCAUGCACGAAAGCGUGGGGAGCAAACAGGAUUAGAUACCCUGGUAGUCCACGCCCUAAACGAUGUCAACUAGUUGUUGGGGGAUUCAUUUCCUUAGUAACGUAGCUAACGCGUGAAGUUGACCGCCUGGGGAGUACGGUCGCAA